rnacentral:rRNA from 1 species
UACGUAGGGGGCUAGCGUUGUCCGGAAUCAUUGGGCGUAAAGAGCGUGUAGGCGGCUCGAUAAGUCCGCUGUGAAAGUCCAGGGCUCAACCCUGGGAUGCCGGUGGAUACUGUCGGGCUCGAGUCCGGAAGAGGCGAGUGGAAUUCCUGGUGUAGCGGUGAAAUGCGCAGAUAUCAGGAGGAACACCAAUGGCGAAGGCAGCUCGCUGGGACGUGACUGACGCUGAGACGCGAGAGCGUGGGGAGCAAACAGG